rnacentral:rRNA from 1 species
UACGUAGGGGGCCAGCGUUGUCCGGAUUCAUUGGGCGUAAAGAGCGUGUAGGCGGCCAUGUAGGUCCGUUGUGAAAACUCGAGGCUCAACCUCGAGACGCCGAUGGAAACCAUGUGGCUAGAGUCCGGAAGAGGAGAGUGGAAUUCCUGGUGUAGCGGUGAAAUGCGCAGAUAUCAGGAAGAACACCCGUGGCUAAGGCGGCUCUCUAGUACGGUACUGACGCUGAGACGCGAAAGCGUGGGGAGCGAACAGG